CAAAACUAUACAAUUUGAUCACAAAUUAACGAUUUAGCUAAUCACAUAUUAUUUUUCGAUCACAAAUCAGGAUUUUCAUAUGUUACAAAUUAUUUUACAUUUAAAAUUCAAAAUUUUUAUAAGUCAUAAGUUGUUCAUCGUCACAAAUUACAAAUAUUAUAAAUCACGACUUAUUAUACAAUCACGAAUUAUCAAAUUAUCGAUCAAAAAUUGACAAUUUUUUAAGCCACGCAUUAUUUCUUGAUCACGGAUUAUUUAUUAGUCACAGAUUAACCAAUUUAAUAGUCACAAUCAACUAAAUAAUUUGUGACCACCGCAACUCUCUGUUGCCACCACCAGCUCACCAUAAGCAAGUUUGAUCCAAAACGCCAUCACCUCAUCACCGUUGUAGCCUCCACCAUCACUUCCACUAACACCACAAUUAACACUCCUUCAAACCAAUCAACAAGAAAUCAUCAUUGUACCAACACCUCACCUGCACCGUCAUAUCCACCACCACCAUCACUCGUACCACCAGCAGCUAGCCAAAAAGGUCUCACCACCAUCAAGGUCCAUAGCUUCACUCCAUCAAUGUUCACCUCCAACUACUAUAAAUUAAGGAACUAUACAUGGAGCCCCUACCACUAUCGCCCUCAUUGCCACUGCCAGAUCUACCACCCCACCAAAACCUCCACUUACACUCCCAGCAAAAACCACCCCAAACCUCCAAUACCACCAAAAUACGAAAAAACCACCACCACCACUCAAAUAACCAAAAUCAAAACCAAAACCACAUUGUUGUCGUCUCCAGAUCCACCACCACCUGCACCAACCACCUAUAGCACCAUCGAAUUGCAGCAGCGACAGGGCGAAGCCUUUGCGCAGCGAUUUGCAACCAAGAAAUGCUUCAUCGACAAUGCUCAUGGCAAAGAUAGUAGAGAGAUGGUCUACGAUGGCGAUGCUGGCGGUGGAUGUUGACGAAGAUUGUAUAGAGUGUGGUGAGGAAGAUGAGAAUAGAGAAAAAAAUAAGGGGGAAGAAGAAAAUGAAUUAGGGUUUGGAAUGAAAUAGGGUAGAUUAAUUAAUUUUUUUAUAUAUUAAUUAAUUGAUAAAAUAUUUUAUUUUUGAAAUAUUAAUCCGAUUUAUGAAAU
rnacentral:lncRNA from 1 species